rnacentral:rRNA from 1 species
AUUGAACGCUGGCGGCAGGCCUAACACAUGCAAGUCGAGCGAGUGGCGGACGGGUGAGUAAUGUCUGGGAAUCUGCCUGAUGGAGGGGGAUAACUUCUGGAAACGGUAGCUAAUACCGCAUACCAUCGGAUGUGCCCAGAUGGGAUUAGCUAGUAGGUGGGGUAAAGGCUCACCUAGGCGACGCUCCCUAGCUGGUCUGAGAGGAUGACCAGCCACACUGGAACUGAGACACGGGCAAGACUCCUACGGGAGGCAGCAGUGGGGAAUAUUGCACAAUGGGCGCAAGCCUGAUGCAGCCAUGCCGCGUGUGUGAAGAAGGCCUUCGGGUUGUAAAGGACUUUCAGCGAGGAGGCGUUACUCGCAGAAGAAGCACCGGCUAACUCCGUGCCAGCAGCCGCGGGAAUAC